rnacentral:lncRNA from 1 species
AGCAUAGAGGUGGGACGCAAAAGCAUUCCAAAUUGUUGAAAUAACCAAGAUCCCUACCUAAAACAGCCGGUGGCAAACAAUGAGUGUGGGUUCUAUGUCAUGUGAACAAUGUUCCGUUAUAUUGGGUACACUACGAAAGAGCCAGAUGAACUUAUAUGAGUAUAAUCCCCAUUUCAUUUAUUUAUUUUAUUAAAUAAAAAAUAUGGUUUUAUCUCGGAGAUGUAUAUAAAAACAUUCAAUGAUUUUAUUUUAUAGUUUAAUUUUUACACAAUCAUAUUUGAGCAUGUAUACCAUCUGGAAACACUUUUGCAUAAAGAAUAAAAAUAAAAAGUAAUCUAAGUCCUCAACCAUAUAAUGUCCGUGCUAACGCUUUUGGGACGCUUCUAAAAACAAAAAUAGAACAUCGCGCAAUGAUCAGAUAGGUGAUACUGUUCACGUGACACCAGUCAACCCCAAAUUAUUAUUCACCAGACAAAGAACUCAGAGAGCUAAACAUGAGGACCAAAACCCCAAAGUAGCAAUCGAUGGUGCAAAUAAAUGCACACUAAUAAUAAGAGAAAUCAAUUAGUAGUAGAAUGCAAGAACGAGCGAUUUCAUGGGGGAUAAUAAAAAAGGGAAGCGAAAAAAAACUCAAUUUAAAAGCGCACAAUUAAAAGGGAUGC